UACGUAGGGUGCAAGCGUUGUCCGGAAUUAUUGGGCGUAAAGAGCUCGUAGGCGGUUUGUCGCGUCUGCUGUGAAAACUCGGGGCUUAACUCCGGGCCUGCAGUGGGUACGGGCAGACUAGAGUGCGGUAGGGGAGACUGGAAUUCCUGGUGUAGCGGUGAAAUGCGCAGAUAUCAGGAGGAACACCGGUGGCGAAGGCGGGACUCUGGGCCGAUACUGACGCUGAGGAGCGAAAGCGUGGGGAGCAAACAGG
rnacentral:rRNA from 1 species